AACGAACGCUGGCGGCAUGCCUAACACAUGCAAGUCGAACGGGAUCCUGGCUUCGGUCAGGUGAGAGUGGCGGACGGGUGAGUAACGCGUGGGAACCUGCCCAGUGGUGGGGGAUAACUGCGGGAAACUGCAGCUAAUACCGCAUGAGCCCGAGAGGGGAAAGAUUUAUCGCCAUUGGAGGGGCCCGCGUUCGAUUAGGUAGUUGGUGAGGUAACGGCUCACCAAGCCGACGAUCGAUAGCUGGUCUGAGAGGAUGAUCAGCCACACUGGGACUGAGACACGGCCCAGACUCCUACGGGAGGCAGCAGUGGGGAAUAUUGGACAAUGGGCGAAAGCCUGAUCCAGCAAUGCCGCGUGAGUGAUGAAGGCCUUAGGGUUGUAAAGCUCUUUUACCCGAGAUGAUAAUGACAGUAUCGGGAGAAUAAGCUCCGGCUAACUCCGUGCCAGCAGCCGCGGUAAU
rnacentral:rRNA from 1 species